rnacentral:rRNA from 1 species
GACGAACGCUGGCGGCGUGCCUAAUACAUGCAAGUAGAACGCUGAAGGAGGAGCUUGCUUCUCUGGAUGAGUUGCGAACGGGUGAGUAACGCGUAGGUAACCUGCCUGGUAGCGGGGGAUAACUAUUGGAAACGAUAGCUAAUACCGCAUAAGAGUAGAUGUUGCAUGACAUUUGCUUAAAAGGUGCAAUUGCAUCACUACCAGAUGGACCUGCGUUGUAUUAGCUAGUUGGUGAGGUAACGGCUCACCAAGGCAACGAUACAUAGCCGACCUGAGAGGGUGAUCGGCCACACUGGGACUGAGACACGGCCCUGACUCCUACGGGAGGCAGCAGUAGGGAAUCUUCGGCAAUGGACGGAAGUCUGACCGAGCAACGCCGCGUGAGUGAAGAAGGUUUUCGGAUCGUAAAGCUCUGUUGUAAGAGAAGAACGAGUGUGAGAGUGGAAAGUUCACACUGUGACGGUAUCUUACCAGAAAGGGACGGCUAACUACGUG